rnacentral:misc_RNA from 1 species
GUGAAUCAUCGAAUCUUUGAACGCAAAUUGCACUUUCUGGUAUUCCGGAAAGUAUGCCUGUUUGAGGGUCAGUUAAAUAACAAUCGGUGUUGUUGCUGUUUUUCGUGGUGACUCGUCGGAAUUGAGUUGUCUUACCUUCGGUUACGUGACUUAAAAUUUUGCAUGUUGUUCGAUCUUAUUUAUAUUUCUUACUUACGUUUGAGAUAUCGAAUACUUUAUUCGGUUCGGUCAUCCU